UACGAAGGGGGCUAGCGUUGCUCGGAAUUACUGGGCGUAAAGCGCACGUAGGCGGUCUUUUAAGUCGGGGGUGAAAUCCUGGAGCUCAACUCCAGAACUGCCUUCGAUACUGGAGAGCUUGAGUCCGGGAGAGGUGAGUGGAACUGCGAGUGUAGAGGUGAAAUUCGUAGAUAUUCGCAAGAACACCAGUGGCGAAGGCGGCUCACUGGCCCGGUACUGACGCUGAGGUGCGAAAGCGUGGGGAGCAAACAGG
rnacentral:rRNA from 1 species